rnacentral:rRNA from 1 species
UACGUAUGUCGCGAGCGUUAUCCGGAAUUAUUGGGCAUAAAGGGCAUCUAGGCGGCCUUCCAAGUCAGGGGUGAAAACCUGCGGCUCAACCGCAGGCCUGCCUUUGAAACUGAUAGGCUGGAGUACCGGAGAGGUGGACGGAACUGCACGAGUAGAGGUGAAAUUCGUAGAUAUGUGCAGGAAUGCCGAUGAUGAAGAUAGUUCACUGGACGGUAACUGACGCUGAAGUGCGAAAGCCGGGGGAGCGAACAGG